rnacentral:rRNA from 1 species
UACGUAGGGUGCGAGCGUUAAUCGGAAUUACUGGGCGUAAAGCGUGCGCAGGCGGUCUGUUAAGACCGAUGUGAAAUCCCCGGGCUUAACCUGGGAACUGCAUUGGUGACUGGCAGGCUUUGAGUGUGGCAGAGGGGGGUGGAAGUUCCACGUGUAGCAGUGAAAUGCGUAGAUAUGUGGAGGAACACCGAUGGCGAAGGCAGCCCCCUGGGUUAACACUGACGCUCAUGCACGAAAGCGCGGGGAGCGAACGGG